rnacentral:rRNA from 1 species
AUGCAACUGUCUAAAAGAAAGAAACCAAGGGAUUCCAUUAUAUCGCAACACAUGCAAGAAUGGCCAGAAAUAUAUUCACCUUGUUUCUGGACGAGCACUUCUGUAUUGAUACAGUUGGUAUUUAUCACGAGUAUCGUGGCUCAGUUUCUGUUCAAGCGAAUUAGAUGGUGCAGGCAGAGAUUGAAGACUGCAACUCCUGAAAGCAAUAAACAUUCUAAUCAGGAACAAAAGAAUGCAGACAUAAAGCUGGGUCUCUCAUAUCAAGCAAGCAAAGUCUGUUGUCUGCUUAUAUUAGCCACUCAUGUCCUGAGGAUAUUCUUUUUGCAGUUACAAGGAAGAAUAAGUGGUUGCAAGUACCCACCUUUUGUUCUGGGUGAAGGCAUACAGGUGCUCUCCUGGAUAAUAUUGUCACUAGCAGUAUUCAGUCUACGGAAGACAAAAUCUGCAAAGCAUCCGCUCAUUAUUCGGGCAUGGUUGGUACUUAGCUUUCUGCAAUCAAUAAUCAGUUUGAUAUUUGAUCUCAGGUUCACCUUAUCAGAUCAUGGAUACAUGGGGUUUGCGGAAUUGAUGGACCUGUUCACACUUGUUAUCUGCACUUAUCUGUUUGCAAUUUCUGUCAGAGGAAAAACAGGAAUCACCUUAAUAAACAGCAGCAUAACAGAGCCACUAUUGAGUCCAUCUGCAGGACAGCAGACAGAAACCAAAAGAACAAGUCUGUAUGGCAAAGCAAGCGUUCUGGACCUUGUCACGUUCUCCUGGAUGACUCCUCUAUUUGUUAUCGGAUAUAAGAAACCUCUAGAUAAGAAUGAUGUGCCAGAUAUUGAUGAAAGGGACUAUGCCGAUUUACUCUCUGAUUCAUUUAAAAGGAUCCUAGCAGAUGUUGAACACAGGCAUGGUUUAAGUACUUUAUCAAUCUAUAGAGCAAUGUUCCUAUUUAUUAGAAGAAAAGCAAUACUCAAUGCAGUAUUUGCAAUUCUGUGUGCAUGUGCAUCCUAUGUUGGACCAUCACUGAUUAAUGACUUGGUGAAAUUCCUUGGGGGAGAGAGGAAAAAUGGACUGCAAAAAGGUUAUCUUCUUGCUGUUGCAUUUUUAAGUGCCAAAGUUGUGGAGACAAUAGCAGAGAGGCAGUGGAUUUUUGGAGCUCAAAGGCUUGGGAUGCGGCUAGGAGCUGCUUUAAUAUCCCACAUCUAUCAAAAGGGGCUCCGGUUAUCCUGUGGCGCAAGGCAGAAGCAUUCCAGUGGAGAGAUCAUAAACUACAUGAGUGUAGAUAUACAAAGGAUAACCGAAGUUAUGUGGUACACAAACUACAUUUGGAUGUUACCCAUACAGCUUUCUCUAGCAGUCUAUGUUCUCCAUCUAAACCUAGGUGCUGGAGCAUGGGCUGGUUUAGCAGCAACACUGGCAAUAAUGACUUGCAAUAUUCCUCUGACAAGACUCCAGAAAAGGUUGCAAUCAGAGAUCAUGGCUGCUAAAGACAACAGAAUGAAGGCAACAACGGAAGUGCUUAGAAGCAUGAAAAUACUGAAACUUCAAGCAUGGGAUACAGAGUACCUUCAAAAGCUAGAAGCUUUGCGAAGGGAGGAGCACAAUUGGUUGUGGAAAUCUGUAAGGUUGUCAGCUUUAACAACAUUCAUAUUUUGGGGGUCCCCUGCAUUCAUAUCCUCCAUAACAUUCGGUACAUGUAUAUUGAUGGGGAUUCCUCUAACAGCUGGUACUGUUUUGUCUGCUCUUGCAACGUUCCGGAUGCUACAAGAUCCAAUCUUCACACUCCCUGAUUUACUUUCGGUGUUUGCUCAGGGGAAAGUUUCAGCAGAUCGAGUAGCACAAUACCUCCAGGAAGAAGAGUUGAAAUGUGACGCAAUUACAGAAGUACCAAGGAAUGACACGGACUAUGAUGUGGAGAUUGAUCAUGGAGCAUUCAGCUGGGAACCUGAGACCACAUCUCCAACUAUAACAGAUGUAAAUUUAAAAGUAAAGAGAGGGAAGAAAGUAGCAAUCUGUGGAGUAGUUGGCUCUGGGAAAUCUAGUCUAUUAUCAUGCAUACUUGGGGAGAUGCCUAAGCUAGCUGGGACUGUGAGGGUCAGUGGGAGCAGAGCAUAUGUUCCUCAGACUGCCUGGAUCCUAUCUGGGAACAUCAGAGACAACAUUCUGUUUGGAAACCCAUAUGACAGGGAAAAGUACCAAAAGGUAAUACAAGCUUGUGCAUUGACAAAAGAUAUUGAACUAUUUGCAAAUGGCGAUUUGACGGAGAUUGGAGAAAGAGGAAUUAACAUGAGUGGUGGACAGAAGCAGAGGAUUCAGAUUGCAAGGUCAGUGUACGAGGAUGCAGAUAUAUACCUCUUCGAUGAUCCUUUCAGUGCAGUAGAUGCUCACACUGGAGGGCAACUUUUCGAGGAUUGCCUCAUGGGGAUGCUUAAAGACAAAACAAUAUUGUAUGUGACACAUCAAGUUGAAUUUCUUCCAGCCGCAGAUCUUAUACUAGUGAUGCAGGAUGGGAAGAUUGUGCAGAAAGGAACAUUUGAUGAUCUCCUUCAACAGAACAUAGGAUUUGAAGAUAUAGUCGGAACCCAUAGCCAGGCAACCGAGUCUGUAAUAAAUGCCGAGAGUUCCAGCAGAAUUUUGUCAACAGAGAAAAAGGGAGGGAUUGGCAAGACGAUCUACUGGGCAUACCUGACGGCUGUUCAUGGUGGCGCAUUAGCACCAAUAAUAGUGGCAGCACAGUCAUUCUUCCAAAUAUUCCAGGUCGCAGGCAACUAUUGGAUGGCAUGGGCGUGUCCUCCAACGUCUGCAACCACCCCAAGGGUUGGAUUAGGCCUUAUUUUCUUCGUAUACAUAGUGCUAUCUAUAGGAAGUGCACUAUGUGUUUUUGGUCGGUCUAUGCUUGUUUCGCUUGUUGGCCUGCUAACAGCGGAGAAGUUCUUCAAGAAUAUGCUCCAUUGCAUCCUCCGUGCUCCAAUGGCCUUCUUUGAUUCCACACCCACUGGCAGGAUCCUAAACAGGGUCUCCAAUGACCAAAGUGUCUUAGAUCUGAAAAUGGCAGACAGCCUUGGUUGGUGCGCGUUUUCUGUUAUACAAAUUCUGGGGACCAUUGGCGUUAUGUCACAGGUUGCGUGGCCAGUUUUUGUCAUCUUUAUUCCAGUGACAGCAAUCUGUUAUGUGUUUCAACGGUACUACAUACCAACAGCAAGAGAGCUGGCUCGCCUGCAACAAAUUCAAAGGGCUCCAAUACUCCACCAUUCUGCGGAAUCACUUACAGGAGCGGCAAGUAUUAGAGCAUAUGGACGGAAAGACCGCUUCAGCAAAGCAAACAUCAGCCUUGUUAACAACCACUUACGACCAUGGUUUCAUAAUGUCUCGGCUGUGGAGUGGCUUUGCUUCAGGCUAAACAUGCUAUCUAACUUUGUCUUUGCCUUUUCUUUGACUCUGUUGGUGAGUCUUCCCGAAGGUUUUAUAAAUCCAAGCAUUGCGGGACUUGCAGUGACUUAUGCACUGAACCUCAACGGGCAGUUGUCAUCUGUAACCUGGAACAUUUGCAACACAGAGAAUAAAAUGAUUUCAGUUGAAAGAAUAAUGCAGUACUCAAGGAUCCCUAGUGAGGCUCCUCUAAUAGUUGAUGAUCACUGCCCCCCAAACAGAUGGCCAAAGGAUGGUACUAUAAAUAUAAGAAACUUGGAGGUUCGAUAUGCAGAGCAUCUCCCCUCUGUUUUAAGAAAUAUAUCAUGUACAAUUCCAGGACGGAAGAAGGUGGGGAUUGUUGGACGUACUGGCAGUGGAAAGUCAACCUUGAUUCAAGCGCUUUUCCGGAUUGUUGAACCGAGACAAGGGACAAUUGAAAUUGAUAAUGUUGAUCUCAGCAAAAUCGGGUUGCAUGAUUUACGAGGCAGACUUAGCAUCAUCCCACAGGAUCCAACCAUGUUUGAGGGCACAGUGAGAGGAAAUCUUGAUCCACUAAAUGAAUAUUCUGAUCAACAUGUAUGGGAGUUGUCGAAAAUGGGGAAAACUGGAGUGUCGGACAGGCAGUUGUUUUGCCUGGGAAGGGUUCUGCUAAAGCGAAGCAAUGUCCUUGUCCUUGACGAGGCAACUGCUUCAGUUGACUCAUCUACGGAUGCAAUUAUCCAGAAAACACUCCGUGAGGAGUUUGGGGACUGCACGGUGCUGACAGUAGCACAUAGAAUUCACACAGUUAUCGACAGUGAUCUUAUUCUUGUCUUCAGCGAAGGAAGAAUUAUAGAAUACGACACGCCGUCAAGAUUACUGGAGGACAAAAACUCUGAAUUUUCAAGGCUCAUAAAGGAGUACUCACGGAGAUCCAAGGGGUUUUGA